rnacentral:misc_RNA from 1 species
CGCACAUUGCGCCCGCCAGCAUUCUGGCGGGCAUGCCUGUUCGAGCGUCAUUUCAACCCUCGAGCCCACUCUCCCCACGUGUGGGGGGUUGCAGGGCCCGGUGUUGGGGAUUCGACCCCCCCUUUCGAGGACGGUCGGCCCCGAAAUCCAGUGGCGGUCGUGCCGCGGGCUCCUCUGCGUAGUAGCAACACCUCGCACUGGCACCCGGCGCGUCCACGCCGUAAAUCAGACGAAUCUUCUGAAGGUUGACCUCGGAUCAGGUAGGAAUACCCGCUGAACUUAA